GGGUCAGUAGGUUGGUCGUGCCACCGGUACGUACUGGCCUCACUGAUUCCUCCUUCCUGAAGAACCGUAAUGCCAUUAAUUUGGUGUUGCGGGGAAACAGGACUGUUACUUUGAAAAAAUUAGAGUGUUUAAAGCAAGCUAACGCUUGAAUACAUUAGCAUGGAGUAAUGAAAUAGGACGAUCGAUCCUAUUUUGUUGGUUUCUAGGAUUGACGUA
rnacentral:rRNA from 1 species